rnacentral:rRNA from 1 species
GAUGAACGCUAGCGGCAGGCCUAAUACAUGCAAGUCGUACGGCAACACAGUUGCGAGCAAUCGCAACCGGUGGCGAGUGGCGCACGGGUGAGUAACGCGUAUGUAACCUACCCUUCUCCGGGACAUAACUCCGCGAAAGCGGUGCUAAUAUCCCAUACCAACUCAUCAAGACAUCUUCUUGAGUUGAAAGCAGCAAUGCGGUGAAGGAUGGGCAUGCGUCCCAUUAGCUGGUUGGUGAGGUAAUGGCCCACCAAGUCAACGAUCGGUAGCCGACCUGAGAGGGUGAUCGGCCACAUUGGAACUGAGACACGGUCCAAACUCCUACGGGAGGCAGCAGUGGGGAAUAUUGCACAAUGGGCGAAAGCCUGAUGCAGCGACGCCGCGUGAGGGAUGACGGCCUCGGUUGUAACGUACUUCUAGUCAGGAAGAAGACGAAAGUAGACGGUACCGUAGCGAGAAGAAGACACCGGACCGUAACCGUAACCGUAGGACCACGACG